rnacentral:rRNA from 1 species
AUUGAACGCUGGCGGCAUGCCUUACACAUGCAAGUCGAACGGCAGCACGGGAGCAAUCCUGGUGGCGAGUGGCGAACGGGUGAGUAAUAUAUCGGAACGUGCCCAGUCGUGGGGGAUAACGUAGCGAAAGCUACGCUAAUACCGCAUACGAUCUACGGAUGAAAGCGGGGGAUCGCAAGACCUCGCGCGAUUGGAGCGGCCGAUAUCAGAUUAGCUAGUUGGUGGGGUAAAAGCUCACCAAGGCGACGAUCUGUAGCUGGUCUGAGAGGACGACCAGCCACACUGGAACUGAGACACGGUCCAGACUCCUACGGGAGGCAGCAGUGGGGAAUUUUGGACAAUGGGCGAAAGCCUGAUCCAGCAAUGCCGCGUGCAGGACGAAGGCCUCGGUUGUAACGUAGCUUUG